GUACUUGCUUUGGCAGCACAUACACUAAACUUGGAACGACAGAGAUUAGCAGGGCCCCAGCACAAGGAUGAAAUGCAAAUUAGUGAAGUGUUCCAUAGUUUU